rnacentral:lncRNA from 1 species
GAAAUUCAGAGAUGCUUUUUUCCCACUUGGAAAUUUUGUGAUUAUUGGAGAGAAUCAUAGUCAAUGUAGUUUAUUUUAUUUUGGGGGGGGCAAGUUCAAAUCAUCUCUAAUUUUUUCACCAAUGCUUUUCUAUCUGGUAAGUUCCGAGGAGGUGUCAAUGUUUAUAUUUUUAUUUUUUGCUGUGCACAAACCGUGUUGAGACAAUCUGGGUUCUAGACAAAUUCGGGUGGAUAGACGUUUUCAGUGACUUUCUAGACUCCUGGGGUUGCUUGCAGCAGGAGCCAGCUGGACCCGAAGAGGAGGCUGGACCUGAAGCUGGAGCCCAGGAUGUGGCCUGAAGAACCCACUGUCAUUUGUUGACAGGGCCAAGGAGCUUCAGGGCUCAAACUCUCUCAAAAAACAUUGUGCAGAGUGAGAAUCAAGCCUGGGUGCCCUCCCAGCCUCCUUGGUUCCUGCAGGGUAUUUCUGGGUCUGUACCACCUGGCCUCAUGCUUGUUCUGGUCCAGAAACUGCCCGAGAGCACCUUCCUCUGAGGGUCCCGCUCCAUCCCCCUGGGGUUCUAAGGGGGAGUCUUGGUUAUCAUGCC